GGUGCCCGUACCGCAAACCGACACAGGUAGGUAGGAAGAAGAUUCUAAGGCCAACGGGAGAAGGGUUGUUAAGGAACUCGGCAAAUUGACCCCGUAACUUCGGGAGAAGGGGUGCUCCAGAGAUGGAGCCGCAGAGAAUCGGCCCAAGCAACUGUUUACCAAAAACACAGGUUUGUGCUAAAUCGAAAGAUGACGUAUACGAGCUGACGCCUGCCCGGUGCUGGAAGGUUAAGAGGAGAUGUGCAAGCAUUGAAUCGAAGCCCCAGUGAACGGCGGCCGUAACUAUAACGGUCCUAAGGUAGCGAAAUUCCUUGUCAGGUAAGUUCUGACCCGCAUGAAAGGCGUAAUGAUUUGGGCACUGUCUCGACAGCCCGCCCGGCGAAAUUGUAGUACCGGUGAAGAUGCCGGUUACCCGCGACAAGACGGAAAGACCCCAUGGAGCUUUACUGUAGCCUAAUAUUGGGUUUCGAUGUUGCAUGCACAGGAUAGAUGGGACACUGGGAAACAAGUGCUUUGGCAUUUGUGGAGUGGCCGUUGGGAUACCAUCCUUGCGAUAUUGGAAUUCUAACCUGCGCCUUUGAAUCAAGGCGGGGGACAUUGUUAGGUGGGCAGUUUGACUGGGGCGGUCGCCUCCUAAAGAGUAACGGAGGCGUUCAAAGGUUCGCUCAGCUUGAACGGAAAUCAAGCAAAAGAGUGCAAACGCAGAAGCGAGCCUAACUGCGAGACUGACGGGUCGAGCAGUAACGAAAGUUGGAGUUAGUGAUCCGGUGGUAUGUGAGUGGAAAUGCCAUCGCUCAACGGAUAAAAGUUACCCUGGGGAUAACAGGCUGAUCUCCCCCAAGAGUCCACAUCGACGGGGAGGUUUGGCACCUCGAUGUCGGCUCAUCGCAUCCUGGGGCUGUAUUCGGUCCCAAGGGUUUGGCUGUUCGCCAAUUAAAGCGGUACGCGAGCUGGGUUCAGAACGUCGUGAGACAGUUCGGUCCCUAU
rnacentral:rRNA from 1 species